rnacentral:rRNA from 1 species
UACGGGGGGGGCAAGCGUUGUUCGGAAUUACUGGGCGUAAAGGGCUCGUAGGCGGCCAACUAAGUCAGACGUGAAAUCCCUCGGCUUAACCGGGGAACUGCGUCUGAUACUGGAUGGCUUGAGUUCGGGAGAGGGAUGUGGAAUUCCAGGUGUAGCGGUGAAAUGCGCAGAUAUCGGGAAGAACACCCGUGGCGAAGGCGGUUCUCUGGGACGGUACUGACGCUGAGACGCGAAAGCGUGGGGAGCGAACAGG